UACGGGGGGGGCAAGCGUUGUUCGGAAUUACUGGGCGUAAAGGGCUCGUAGGCGGCCAACUAAGUCAGACGUGAAAUCCCUCGGCUUAACCGGGGGAACUGCGUCUGAUACUGGAUGGCUUGAGGUUGGGAGAGGGAUGCGGAAUUCCAGGUGUAGCGGUGAAAUGCGUAGAUAUCUGGAGGAACACCGGUGGCGAAGGCGGCAUCCUGGACCAAUUCUGACGCUGAGGAGCGAAAGCCAGGGGGAGCAAACGGGG
rnacentral:rRNA from 1 species